rnacentral:rRNA from 1 species
UACGUAGGGUGCGAGCGUUAAUCGGAAUUACUGGGCGUAAAGCGUGCGCAGGCGGUUGCCUAAGCCAGGCGUGAAAUCCCCGGGCUUAACCUGGGAAUUGCGCUUGGGACUGGGCGGCUAGAGUACGGCAGAGGGAGGUGGAAUUCCACGUGUAGCAGUGAAAUGCGUAGAGAUGUGGAGGAACACCGAUGGCGAAGGCAGCCUCCUGGGCCAGUACUGACGCUCAUGCACGAAAGCGUGGGGAGCAAACAGG